rnacentral:lncRNA from 1 species
CGGUGCUACAGUCCACAGGACAAGUGCUGGUCUGAGGAUACAAAACAUUAGUUCUGGAAAUCUGAUGGCUUCAAACCUUGGAUCGCCACUUUCUAACUGUCUUUAAAACCUUUGGCCUUGUAACAGUUGCAAGCUGUGGUUUUGUUGUCUGUGUGAGGUGACUAACAGCAUUACCACUCUCUGUGUGGGGAAUGUGUUCAUCUAGGACCCAAACCACCUACUGACUUCCGGCACCUCUUAUCAGCUAAGCCAUCGGCCCGCGAGCUGACAUUUCAGCGUUCAGAAGCUCCCCACCCCCACCUCAAAAAAAAAAAAAAAAAAAAAAAAAAAAUCAGCAUACUGUUCAUCGGUUUUAAUUUAGCAUUCCAUACACUUGCCUCCUGAAAUUUCUCUCCUGCACUCAACACUCCUACUUGUCUAGCACCUUUUUCCUCCUUUGCUUCUUGUUUUCUUGAUGUGACUAGUGUGUAUUCUAUCUUUUACUUUUGCAACUAGAAACUCUUGUUCUGAAACAUAGACCAAAAAAAAAAAAAAAAAG